AUGGCUAACAUUGAAGCUGGUGUCAAGCCAGCCAUUGAUCAUGAGACUGCAACAUUGAUCCCAAACAGUGGAAGCUUAGAAGGUUCAAGCAGGGUCACAAAGGCCACCAGGUUAAGAGACGACAAUGAGGUCAUCGAGAUCAUGUUUGAUGUGCAACAUGAUGCAGCGCCGGUCCAAGGCGUCAGGACAGUGGCCGCAGAAGCUGUGGUGGCCGCCGUGAUGAAGAGAUACGACAGAAGCAAGAGCAUCGCUGCGGUGGCGCUCAAGGGCUUGCAGUUUGUGAGGGAGAAAGUAGGCUCUGGCGGCUGGGCUGUUGUGGAGAAGCGCUUCAACCACCUGCAGCUAGUUGGCACUUUCGUCUCGCUUGGACACCGCCACACGAUGUUGGCAGUGAAGCACAUUCUGUUGAUGCAUGAUAUGCCUAAUAUUGCUAAUCCAAUUCUCGAUCCUUCCCAAGCCUGGCGGCAUAUAUGCAUGCCCUCAAUUGGCAGCCAUUUUGGUGCAUAG
rnacentral:rRNA from 1 species